rnacentral:rRNA from 1 species
UCAGGCCUAACACAUGCAAGUCGAGCGGUAACAGAGAGAAGCUUGCUUCUUUGCUGACGAGCGGCGGACGGGUGAGUAAGACUUGGGAAUUUGCCUUUAGGCGGGGGACAACCACUGGAAACGGUGGCUAAUACCGCAUAAUGUCUACGGACCAAAGUGGGGGACCUUCGGGCCUCACACCUAAAGAUGAGCCCAAGCGGGAUUAGCUAGUUGGUGGGGUAAAGGCUCACCAAGGCGACGAUCCCUAGCUGUUCUGAGAGGAUGAUCAGCCACACUGGGACUGAGACACGGCCCAGACUCCUACGGGAGGCAGCAGUGGGGAAUAUUGCACAAUGGGGGAAACCCUGAUGCAGCCAUGCCGCGUGUGUGAAGAAGGCCUUCGGGUUGUAAAGCACUUUCAGUGGUGAGGAAAGGGUAGUCGUUAAUAACGGCUACAGUUGACGUUAGCCACAGAAGAAGCACCGGCUAACUCCGUGCCAGCAGCCGCGGUAAUACGGAGGGUGCAAGCGUUAAUCGGAAUUACUGGGCGUAAAGCGUACGUAGGCGGUGUGUUAAGCUAGAUGUGAAAGCCCCGGGCUCAACCUGGGAAUAGCAUUUAGAACUGGCACGCUAGAGUCCUGAAGAGGGUGGUAGAAUUUCCAGUGUAGCGGUGAAAUGCGUAGAUAUUGGAAGGAAUACCGGAGGCGAAGGCGGCCACCUC